rnacentral:ncRNA from 2 species
AUGCAACACUAGGGGGGCCACGGUUGUGGCUGAGAUAGAAAGUGUACUUUCUGACCCUUUGAACCUGUUUGUUAGUGCAAGCGUAGGGAAGUGGAAAAUUCAAAAA